UUGACCUCAAAUCGGGUGAGACUACCCGCUGAACUUAAGCAUAUCAAUAAGCGGAGGAAAAGAAACUAACAAGGAUUCCCCUAGUAACUGCGAGUGAAGCGGGAAAAGCUCAAAUUUAAAAUCUGGCGGUCUUUGGCCGUCCGAGUUGUAAUUUAGAGAAGCGUCUUCCGCGCCGGACCGUGCACAAGUCUCCUGGAAUGGAGCGUCAUAGAGGGUGAGAAUCCCGUCUUUGGCACGGAUGCCUGGUGCUUCUGUGAUGCGCUCUCGAAGAGUCGAGUUGUUUGGGAAUGCAGCUCAAAAUGGGUGGUGAACUCCAUCUAAAGCUAAAUAUUGGCGAGAGACCGAUAGCGAACAAGUACCGUGAGGGAAAGAUGAAAAGCACUUUGGAAAGAGAGUGAAACAGUACGUGAAAUUGUUGAAAGGGAAACGCUUGAAGUCAGUCGCGUCGACCGAGACUCAGCCUUGCCUCGGCUUGGUGUACUUCUCGGCCCGACGGGUCAGCGUCAAUUUUGCCCCUCGGAUAAUGGCAAGGGAAAGGUGGCACCUUUACGGGUGUGUUAUAGUCUCCUGUCGCAUGCGAGGGGUGGGAUUGAGGAACUCAGCGCGCACCUUGGUGUCGGGGCUUCGGCCCACGUCACGCGCUUAGGAUGCUGGCGUAAUGGCUUUAAACGACCCGUCUUGAAAC
rnacentral:rRNA from 1 species